rnacentral:rRNA from 1 species
CAGUAGCCGCGGUAAUACGAAGGGGGCUAGCGUUGCUCGGAAUGACUGGGCGUAAAGGGCGCGUAGGCGGCUGACACAGUCAGAUGUGAAAUUCCUGGGCUCAACCUGGGGACUGCAUUUGAGACGUGUUGGCUUGAGUGGAGAAGAGGGUCGUGGAAUUUCCAGUGUAGAGGUGAAAUUCGUAGAUAUUGGAAAGAACACCGGUGGCGAAGGCGGCGACCUGGUCUUUAACUGACGCUGAGGCGCGAAAGCGUGGGGAGCAAACAGGAUUAGAGACCCCAGUAGUCCCUGUCUCUUAUAC